GGAUGAACGCUGGCGGCGUGCUUAACCCAUGCAAGUCGAACGGAAAGGCCCAAGCUUGCUUGGGUACUCGAGUGGCGAACGGGUGAGUAACACGUGGGUGAUCUGCCCUGCACUUCGGGAUAAGCCUGGGAAACUGGGUCUAAUACCGGAUAGGACGAUGGUUUGGAUGCCAUUGUGGAAAGUUUUUUCGGUGUGGGAUGAGCUCGCGGCCUAUCAGCUUGUUGGUGGGGUAAUGGCCUACCAAGGCGUCGACGGGUAGCCGGCCUGAGAGGGUGUACGGCCACAUUGGGACUGAGAUACGGCCCAGACUCCUACGGGAGGCAGCAGUGGGGAAUAUUGCACAAUGGGCGCAAGCCUGAUGCAGCGACGCCGCGUGGGGGAUGACGGCCUUCGGGUUGUAAACUCCUUUCGCUAGGGACGAAGCGUUUUUGUGACGGUACCUGGAGAAGAAGCACCGGCUAACUACGUG
rnacentral:rRNA from 1 species